rnacentral:rRNA from 1 species
CCUACGGGUGGCAGCAGUGAGGAAUAUUGGUCAAUGGGCGGGAGCCUGAACCAGCCAAGCCGCGUGAGGGAAGAAGGUACAGCGUAUCGUAAACCUCUUUUGUCAGGGAACAAAGGCGGGGACUAGUCCCCGGAUGAGGGUACCUGAAGAAAAAGCAUCGGCUAACUCCGUGCCAGCAGCCGCGGUAAUACGGAGGAUGCGAGCGUUAUCCGGAUUUAUGGGGUUUAAAGGGUGCGUAGGCGGGCUGUUAAGUCAGCGGUAAAAGCCCGGGGCUCAACCCCGGCGAGCCGUUGAAACUGGCUGUCUGGAGAGGUCGAGAGGUAGGCGGAAUGCGUGGUGUAGCGGUGAAAUGCUUAGAUAUUGCGAAGAACUCCGAUUGCGAAGGCAGCAUACCGGCGGCGAUCUGACGCUGAGGCACGAAAGCGUGGGUAUCGAACAGGAUUAGAUACCCCUGUAGUC